rnacentral:lncRNA from 1 species
CGGGCCCCCUGCUGCUGGGUGGCCCGGCUGGGGCCCCCCCUGGCGGGGGAGCGCUGCUUGGGCUGAGGAGCCUUCUGCAGGGAAACAGCAAGCCCAAAGAACCGGCCAGCUGUCUCCUGAAGGAAAAGGAGCGCAAGGCAACUCUGCCCUCAGCCCCCGUCCCGGGACCCGUCCUGGAAACGGCGGGCCCAGCGGAUGCCCCAACUGGGGCGGUUAGUGGCGGUGGGUCCCCUCGGGGGCGCUCAGGGCCUGUGGCUGGCCCGAGUCUUUUUGCGCCGCUGCUGUGGGAACGCACUUUGCCUUUCGGGGACGUGGAAUACGUGGACCUGGACGCCUUCUUGCUGGAGCACGGGCUACCGCCGAGCCCGCCGCCCCCCGGGGGCCUGUCGCCGGCACCCUCUCCAGCGCGCACUCCCGCGCCCUCCCCCGGGCCCGGCUCUUGCAGCUCCUCUUCCCCCCGCUCCUCGCCCGGGCACGCCCCCGCGCGGGCCACUCUGGGAGCCGCCGGCGGCCACCGCGCAGGUGCGGCGAAGGGGCGGGGCUGGCGGGCAGGGAGGGGCCUCGCGACACUUUUGGAAGUCUGCCCAAUGAGAUGCUGCGAUCCUUUAGGGGACUUGGGUCCCCAAAUGCGAGAGGAUUAUUCAGUGAGAGGAUAUAUUUUUCUCUAAU